ensembl:lncRNA
AUACACUUCCACAAACGUGUGUUGUGAAGAUCAGACUAUAAUAGAUGCCUGUUCUUUAAAUAAAACAGGCCGCUCACUCACUCAUGAUUUCAAUCAAUGGGAUGACAAUCACCUGACUCUAAUUUCACCUUCAAAUGAACUGCAAAUCCUAGUGGUUCACAUACUUUUGCCACUUUUGUCACAGAUAUGCAAUACUGGAUAAUUUUCCUCAAUAAAUAAAUGACCGAGUAUAAAAUUUUUGCGUUUCAUUUGAAUAACUGGGUUCUUUUUAGCUACUUUUAGGGCUUGUGUGAAAAUCUGGUGAUGUUUUAGGCCGUAUUCAUGCAGAAAUCUAGAAAAUUCUAAAGGGUUUGCAAACGUUCAAGCACCACCGUGUGUGUGUGUCUAAGGCGAACAGACAGAGAAUAUGUACUGAUUUCAGAGUUUGAUGUGGUCGUCUUGCACUGAGUCAGAAGUAUUAAACACGCUUUGCAGUCAGGGGGAAGGGAAGAGAAGCUCAAGGGGAGCUCAAUUCCCUUCAGUCUGGGGUUCAUGUUCUGAAAGAAUGUGCGUGGGUGGGCUAACGGAUGACGUAAUGAUGGUUCUUCAGAAAAGAAGGGACACUUUUUGUUCCCCCGCUGAAGUUAAAACAGCACCUCUUACCUGUAGCAGAGGGAUCGUGUCUUAUUUGAGCUGCGAGCGAGAAACGGCAUCGACGCCCAUCGUUUCUGAGAAGCUGCCAGAGGUGCGUAUAGUGUGUCUGUCACUAAUGGAGCUGGAAUGUCACAUUAAUCAAGGAGCACAUGUGUCACACUUACAAAACACACACACAAAGAGUUAAGAUCUUUAGAUUGGUCCCACAGACAUGAGGUGGCUCCUACGCUGACUAAACCUAAAUCACGCACCCAUUGCAGCUGAAAUAUGGCCCUUGUGUUUCUGCUCAGGGAUUUGAGGGGGAAAGAAAAAAAAAUGUUUCAGGCUAUAUUUAGAAAGGUUUUUCCGCUGACUGUGGGAUCGGGAGAAAGAGCAGGCGCAGAGAAAUCUCCUCAGGAACAUCGACGCUGCGUCCAAAAACCAUGCGUUAUGAAUUUGAUAUUCGUCUCAAAGCACAUCAGUCCGUCCCUCUACAACGCCAUAGCUGUCCAAUGUUUCCUGGUGUCGAGCAGGUUUACUUUUGAGUUUCUCUCCCUCUACAGGAUUGUGCACUUUACACAGCGCUGCACUUGCACCACACCAUUUUUGGUCUCGUGAGCCAAAAAGGAAGCUCAGGGAGUGUAUGCUGACCUAGUUUAAAAUAAGGGGGAUGCUUUUUUUUCUCUUCUCAGCCCCCCCAUUAUCUGUCUCCCGCUCUCUUUUCCUCCUCUAGCUCCGUACGAACCCUAGCUCCUAGACCUUGGGACACAGGAAACGGCUUGUCAGCUGCAUAUAAACAGCGGCCAUUUUGCAGCUCUGAUAAAAAGCAUCUGGGUGGAGUAGCACAGCCGACACACACGCACACAGAGAGAGAGAGAGAGAGAGAGAGAGAGAGAGAGAGAGAGAGAGAGAGAGAGAGAGAGAGAAGGCCAUCUAAUCCAAGUCUCAUCUGUCACUAGCACUGAUGAGGAACUCUGAAGUUCAGGGCGUAUCCCCUCUGUGUGUGGUGCACCUGCUGAAAGGGAGAGAGGGAUCACCUGCUCUCUCUCUCUCUCUCUCUCUCUCUCUCUCUCUGGUAUUCAGACCGACAGUAGCUGGAGGACGUGCCGAGAAGCGCAAGGUAUUUUCUAAUGAGUUUCAAUAAACAAGAAGACGAAUUGAGAGUACCGUGAUCCUAACCAGGCAGUUACUAAGGAUGAACGAGUGGAAACGCACGUUCGCGUCAUCGAACACGGCUUCUCUUCACGCUGCAAGCUUCAUAUCUGACAGCCGAACGGAUCGUUUCGGUUUGUUCGCUAUUUGGUUUGGUUUGUUUUCUCGCUGCACCGCAACCGCACCGACGUUCGGACCGCACCUGAGUGAGUUUGCUGUGGAGGAAAAUGCAGUGUACAAAGUCACUCACGCUUGUCUUACAGUAUGCCUUCUUUACUUUAGGUAUACAAUAGGCCAAUUCCCUGCACACUUAUCACCGACUGUCACAGACACCUCCUGUUUACCUCCUGUCCUACUUCCUGGUUGUGGUUUUGUGUUCUACUUCCUGGUUUUCACAGAUUCUGCUUUAUGUCUUCCUACUGCUCCGGCUCCGUCCUUCAGACUGAUAACGCUACACACUUCCCAUGAUCACUGUUUGCACCUGACCCUCUUCACCGAGGUUCAUGGAACAACGGUUUCAUGCAUAACUAGCGAUUUUCCAUUUCCCGAACUGCAGAGAGAGAAACUGUAUGAUUUAGAAAUGUGUGUGUGUGUGUG